rnacentral:sRNA from 1 species
AGGACGGCGUGGACGGGCUGCCCAAGGAGGCGGUGGGCGCCGAGCAACCGCCCUCUCCUGCAUCCACCAGCAGCCAGGAAUCCAAGCCCUAUGGAUGAUGUGAACUGAGUGGUUCUUGACCCAGAAAGCCAAGUGAACUCUUGAGGAAUCAUGUCCAUCAAAAGUUUAGUUGGCCUGUAGUGCUGAGAGCAACACAAAUGAUUCUGCACAGUGACACUGACUUGAAGGUAUCUUAUAUCCACUCCAUCUAUCCACGUGCAUCUUGGGUAAAAAUAGAGGAGGCAAGUCAUGCAUUAAAUUAUCAAGCUCCAGAAACUAAAACGAUCACUUUCUUUCAAGACCAAGAGUUUACGGAGCAAAAGUGCUGACAACUUCUUCCAGCGAACCAACAGCGAAGACACGAAACUGCAAGCACACAUGGUGGCUGAGAUCAGCCCCAGCUCCAGCCCACUCCCUGCUCCAGGAAGCCUGACGUCCACACCCGCCAGGGCUGGCCUGCAUCCAGGUGGCAAGGCUCAUGCCUUUCAGGAAUACAUCUUCAAGAAGCCCACUUUCUGUGAAGUCUGCAACCACAUGAUAGUGGGAACAAAUGCUAAGCAUGGACUGCGCUGCAAAGCCUGUAAGAUGAGCAUCCACCACAAGUGCACAGAUGGCCUGGCACCCCAGCGGUGCAUGGGCAAGCUGCCAAAGGGGUUUCGGCGUUACUACAGCUCCCCCUUGCUCAUUCAUGAACAGUUUGGCUGCAUUAAAGAAGUUAUGCCCAUUGUUGCCUCCUACUGUAAACUUUGUGUCUCAAGUCUUUGAACCUUGGUGAGCACAGCCUCCCAGUAGAGGAGAUAAAGCUGAUCCCUGCAAGAACCUGGAAAUUAGAGAGGAGUAACAAAAGAGGAAAUCCAAUCAGGGAGGAUUUGGGAGCAGAAUACUAGUUGCCUGUGGCAAUAAGGUGGACCCUGUCUACGAGACCCUCCGCUUUGGCACCUCCCUGGCCCAGAGGACAAAGAAGGGCAGCUCCGGCAGUGGCUCUGACUCACCUCACAGAACCUCUACUUCAGAUCUUGUGGAGGUUCCUGAGGAAGCCAAUGGGCCAGGAGGCGGGUAUGACCUAAGGAAACGCAGCAACAGCGUGUUUACAUAUCCAGAAAAUGGCACUGAUGAUUUCAGAGAUUCAGCGAAGAACAUAAACCACCAGGGAUCUCUUUCCAAAGACCCAUUACAGAUGAACACCUACGU